rnacentral:tRNA from 14 species
GCGCCCGUAGCUCAGCCGGAUAGAGCACCAGAUUCCUAAUCUGGGGGCCAUGGGUUCGAAUCCCGUCGGGCGCACCA